AUUGAACGCUGGCGGCGUGCUUAACACAUGCAAGUCGAACGAGAACGGAAUAUAGCUUGCUAUAUUUGUCAGCUAAGUGGCGCACGGGUGAGUAACGUAUAGAUAACCUGCCCUUAAGAAAGGAAUAACAGUUGGAAACGACUGCUAAUGCCCUAUAUGCCUUUAAUACAUAAGUAUGCAAGGGAAACGCUUUAGUGCUUAAGGAUGGGUCUGUAUGGUAUCAGCUUGUUGGUGAGGUAAUGGCUCACCAAGGCUAUGACGCCUAACUGGUUUGAGAGGAUGAUCAGUAACACUGGAUCUGAGACACGGUCCAGACUCCUACGGGAGGCAGCAGUGGGGAAUAUUGCACAAUGGGCGAAAGUCUGAUGCAGCAACGCCGCGUGGAGGAUGACACAUUUCGGUGCGUAAACUCCUUUUAUAUAGGAAGAUAAUGACGGUACUAUAUGAAUAAGCACCGGCUAACUCCGUGCCAGCCGCCGCGGUAA
rnacentral:rRNA from 1 species